rnacentral:lncRNA from 1 species
UCAAAUCCAAUUGGUCUAAAAUAGGUUAAGAAGGCAUUCUUUAAGGCCUUCCAAUUGAAAAAUCUACCCAUUGAUUAUCCAUUAUAUCAUUUAAAAGCUGUAUCUUUUAAAGUUACUAGCAACCAUCUCAACCAAAUGUCUUCAAUUCUACCAUUAUUAGCCACACAUGCUGUUAAGAAUUAAAAUAUAUGAUGAUCGAGAUGAGAGCCCGGUGUCACGGACACAAAAUACAGACUUGAAAUCUAAGAAGAAGUUCAAGAAGAAGUGGCAAAACUAGAUUAAACAGAUGAGUAUAAGAACAACACCAGAAAGGUGAGCUAGAACUCCAAGAG